CCGCAGGGACGGCCCUGCGGCUGCUUACGAACCGGGGACGGCCUC
rnacentral:ncRNA from 1 species